rnacentral:rRNA from 1 species
UUUAUUUAUUUUAUUAUAAUUGUUUUUUGUUAGUUUAUUUUUUAAUAAAAGAAAUUUUAUUUAUUAUUUUGUCUUAGUAUAUUUUAUAGAAUUGAUUAUUUUUAUUAUAGUUUAAUAGUAAUGUAAUUGGAUUAUGAAAUAAUUUUUUAAUUAUCAAAAAGUAGAUUUAAUUUGUUGUACCUUUUGUAUCAGGGUUUAUUAAAUUUUUAGUAUUUAUUUACUAAUCUCGAUUUAGGUUGAUUUACAAAUAAAUUAAAGUUAAUGUGUCAUAAUUAUUUUUAAUUUAUUUGUAGAAAUGAAAUGUUAAUCGUUUCCUAAUAUAUCUAGUUUCUUAAGAAAAAAUUUAAUUUUUUAAAGUUAAUAGUUUUUAUUUACUUUUUUAUAUAGAAAUGUUAACUUAUUUAUUCUUUAGGGGAUAAGCUCUAGAGUUUUCCUAUAAUUUUAUUAAUUUUGAUUUAAUAGUAAGCUUUAAACCAGCUAUCUUUUUGAUUACGUUUUAGUUCAUUAUUUAUUAUUUUGAUUUUGUAAAUAUUUUAGGUUUUAUAUUAAGAUUAUUAAUUUAAUUUUUAAAUUAUUGUAAUAAUGAUAGAAUUAGUAUAUAUAUUUAUUGUUUAUAAUAUUUUAUUAUGUUAAUUUAUUAUAAGGAAUUAGGCAAAAUUGAUUUCCGCCUGUUUAUCAAAAACAU